rnacentral:rRNA from 1 species
AACGAACGCUGGCGGCAGGCCUAACACAUGCAAGUCGAGCGAGGACUUCGGUCCUAGCGGCGGACGGGUGAGUAACGCGUGGGAACGUGCCCUUUGCUUCGGAAUAGCCCUGGGAAACUGGGAGUAAUACCGGAUGAGCCCUUUGGGGGAAAGAUUUAUCGGCGAAGGAUCGGCCCGCGUUGGAUUAGGUAGUUGGUGGGGUAAUGGCCUACCAAGCCGUCGAUCCAUAGCUGGUUGGAGAGGAUGAUCAGCCACACUGGGACUGAGACACGGCCCAGACUCCUACGGGAGGCAGCAGUGGGGAAUCUUAGACAAUGGGGGAAACCCUGAUCGAGCCAUGCCGCGUGAGCGAUGAAGGCCUUAGGGUUGUAAAGCUCUUUCAGCUGGGAAGAUAAUGACGGUACCAGCAGAAGAAGCCCCGGCUAACUCCGUG